AUUCGAAGAGGAUUUUUAACCCAUCGAUAAGGCUGCUGAGAACGCCAUAUGGGUCAACCCAAAGGAAGCAGCUGAAUUUGUCACCUGCUAGCACUUGCUUUUCAAGGAGUUGAACAGGUGCAGCCCUCCAAAACAGAAGUGCUGAAGAAUGUACUAGUGCUGACAAGCGGUCGCAUUGAUAAAACAGCCAAGUAU
rnacentral:lncRNA from 1 species